GAUGAACGCUGGCGGCGUGCUUAACACAUGCAAGUCGAACGAAGCACUCUAAUUGAUUUCUUCGGAAUGAAGUUUUUGUGACUGAGUGGCGGACGGGUGAGUAACGCGUGGGUAACCUGCCUCAUACAGGGGGAUAACAGUUGGAAACGACUGCUAAUACCGCAUAAGCGCACAGGACCGCACGGUCUGGUGUGAAAAACUCCGGUGGUAUGAGAUGGACCCGCGUCUGAUUAGCCAGUUGGCGGGGUAACGGCCCACCAAAGCGACGAUCAGUAGCCGACCUGAGAGGGUGACCGGCCACAUUGGGACUGAGACACGGCCCAAAACUCCUACGGGAGGCAGCAGUGGGGAAUAUUGCACAAUGGGGGAAACCCUGAUGCAGCGACGCCGCGUGAGCGAAGAAGUAUUUCGGUAUGUAAAGCUCUAAUCAGCAGGGAAGAAGAAUGACGGUACCUGACUAAGAAGCACGGCUAAAUACGUG
rnacentral:rRNA from 1 species